CCCUUAGACGUUCUGGGCCGCACGCGCGCUACACUGACCAGUGCAACAAGCAUCCGUCCUUGGCCGACAGGCCCGGGCAAUCUUUGAACGCUGGUCGUGAUGGGGAUAGACUUUUGCAAUUUUUGGUCUUCAACGAGGAAUUCCUAGUAAACGCAAGUCAUCAACUUGCAUUGAUUACGUCCCUGCCCUUUGUACACACCGCCCGUCGCACCUACCGAUUGAAUGGUCCGGUGAAGCCUCCGGAUUGGCGCGCACCUCGGUGCCGCCGAGAAGUUGGCUAAACCUUAUCAUCUAGAGGAAGGUGAAGUCGUAACA
rnacentral:rRNA from 1 species